rnacentral:lncRNA from 1 species
UUAUAGAAUUAUGUUCUGUCAAAUAAUCUAUUUUGAAGUCAGUUUCCUCAUUUUGAAAUAAAACUUUUUUCAUGAUAUGUCUCAUCUUCAUUUAUCCUUCCUUUAGAAAUCUUGCCUCUGUCCUUCUCUCCCUUGGAACACUCCUCCCAGGUUGUCCCGUAGUUGGCGCCUUCUCAUCAUUUAGGACCUUGUGGACUGCUAAUAGUCUGCUCAAUUUUGAAAACGUCUCCUUACAAGUACUGACCAAGAACAGUUGGUUCAAGGCCAUGAUGGAACUCAAAGGCAAAAGGAAAAGGAGAUGGCUAAAUGCAGCUGGACUCUGGAGAAUGCUCAUGGAUGAAGCAAAGAGGAAGAUAUCAGCAUGUCAUGAAUGCAGAUUGCCUAGUCAAACCCAGGAAAGAUUUUAGGCUUCUCUUUGGUAGUUUUUCACAGGGCUGUUACAGGCUCUUAACAUCAGCCCUGAUAUCAGUUCCCCCACAUUGAACCCAGCGUAUAUGGCGUUAAAACUAAAACCCACCACCCCCUUUCCUGCUUCUCUAGCUCCACUCAUAUGUAAAUACCUGUUUCUUUAAACUUGGACUCCUUGAGCUUUACAACUAAAUGGGAGUUACAAAUUGUUCAAAGCCCAGGUGGCCUGGAGUUGGAGGCACACUAAAGUUUAGCUAAUCAUGUGUCCUUGAACUUUGCCAGGAAAGCUGCUUUCUCAAGAAUAUCAUGGAGCGGAGGCUUCCCAGCCCUCAACUUCUCGACUCCCGGCGCUGGAACCCGCCUCGAACAAGAAGACGAGACAACAGCUCUCAAGGCCAAAUGCAGGCUAGUGGGAAAAUGCCAAACUGCACAAGCUACAUGCGCCCCCCUUCCCAACCCAAAACCCCAAAUAAAAAUCCCUACCCGUUCCUCA